UUGAAGGUGAGAAAAUCUUAGAGAAUGUUGACACCAAUAUCACGAACAUUGCAGGGACAAGUAGAAUGAACCGCAGUGGUCGGAUUUAUACUCCCGAUGUCAAUAUAAUCCCUCAAGAUCCAACAAGGGAAGCUACAACUGCAGUUCCUGCCCCAGAAUAUGGAGGGGUACAACCAGCGGUGCAAUCAGAUGAAGUAAUUGAAUUUCUAAAAAUUAUAAAGAAAAACGACUACAAGAUAGUCGAUUAGUUACAUCUAACAACGUCAAAAAUAU
rnacentral:lncRNA from 1 species